rnacentral:rRNA from 1 species
ACUCCUACGGGAGGCAGCAGUGGGGAAUAUUGGACAAUGGGCGAAAGCCUGAUCCAGCAAUGCCGCGUGAGUGAUGAAGGCCUUCGGGUUGUAAAGCUCUGUCGGGAGGGACGAAAAAGCGGAUUAACAAACCGCAUUGACGGUACCUUCAAAGGAAGCACCGGCUAACUCUGUGCCAGCAGCCGCGGUAAUACAGAGGGUGCAAGCGUUGUUCGGAAUUACUGGGCGUAAAGCGCGUGUAGGUGGCGAUGUAAGUCGGGUGUGAAAUCCCUCAGCUUAACUGAGGAAGUGCACUCGAUACUGUGUCGCUUGAGUGUUGGAGGGGAUGGCGGAAUUCCCGGUGUAGAGGUGAAAUUCGUAGAUAUCGGGAGGAACACCUGUGGCGAAGGCGGCCAUCUGGACAACUACUGACACUGAGACGCGAAAGCGUGGGUAGCAAACAGGAUUAGAUACCCUGGUAG